GGAAAAUGUAUUUUUAGAUCAUUACAAAACUACAUCUGCUUCAAAAUAAUAUAUUUACUUCAUUCCAGACCUAAAAUUAAUUGUGAGAAGUUGUUAAAUCACUGAAACUUUUCAAGCUAAUCAGUACAAAGGCUUUGCUUUAUUUGAUGAGGAAAUUUGAGGAGAUUUGAGGAAAAUGAGGAGAUUUGAUGAGGAAAUAUUUGAUGAGGAAAUACUGAAUAUUGUUGAGUUGCUUAAUCUGGUAAAACUAAGGUGGAAAUGGGCUAUGAUGAAUUUUCAUUUAGGAGGUAAACUUCAAAAAGAAAAAGAAUUAGUUAAAGAAUAAUACUGGCAUGGGAACAAGUGGAUGCAAUCUGAUUAUUGACACAUUCAGGCUGGAAAUUUAGAGGAAUCUUUCCAUCCACCCAUCCAAGAAGUGAUAUUCCAGUGAUGGGAGCAGAGAGUCACUGGUUUAGGCUGUGUUUGGGUAUGCUGAUGAAAACGAUUGUGUCGCAGAAUUCUUAGGGACAGAAAAUGGGCUUGUGAUGUGGAUCAGUUGGUAUCUGAUGUUUAGGUGUCAGCAGCUGAGUUUGAAAAGAGACUUGGUUGUUUAUUUGCUCCAUUGUUUUAUCCUAUUAAUCACAUGCUUCAGGACUUUUGUUUGCAGUCUGUGGAGCUUGUUGCACUUCAUGUUUUUCUCUAAGUGCCACUAUCUGAGUGCAAAGUCAGUGGGACAGAGACUGUAUCUUGCUGGGUGACCCUAGAGCAACAGAGACACAGUCAUGACUGGAGGGUGAGUGAUGCCCAACAGCUUUAUUGCAGUUACAGAGUAAUGCAGAGAAGGAGACAUAUUUCUUUGCUGGAACAGUGAACAUUUGGUACAAAUAAUUCAGAACUGGGGUUUUCCUGGCCCCCAUGCUAAGACCAAUAUUUAACUUACCAUCCAUAACAAACUGCCAUUUCACCGGGACUUUAAUGUUGCUAUCGGAACUGUGAAUAUCUAUUUCUGAAACAGAGAGCCUCUUAAAUACCACUGUCAAUACCAAACAAUACUUGCUUGGAUACAGGUUUAGAAACUGCAGUGACAGCUACAGUCGAUCCCACUAGGUGGGAUGUUUCUGUGGGUACAUGGUGACAAAGGGGUUCAGGAUCCUUGCUGUGGCUGGAAAAAGUUGUUCACCCAAGUCAGUUAGUUAUGAACAGGCAUGGGGUCUUUUGGGUUGGGGUGUCACAUUAAAUGCAUUGCUCUUCUGCAUCUUGCUGGGUUCAGAAGCAAGUGAGUCUUGGUACACCACUGAAGCUCUGGAGAGCCACUUGACUUCCCUUUGAGCAGGCCAAGGCUGGGAUCUUUGCUAGAUAAUUGGAACCUAAGUCAUUCCUGAACUCAUCCCUGGUUUGGGGUUACUUUUGUUGGUAAACAUAAGGUUCUGCAACCCAGAAGGGCUGUGAGUAGGGAGAAGGAUUAGGAUCUCUUAAGAAUAGUCAAGAAACCCUGGAAUUUCUUUGUGAUAACUAUUUUGGAUCAUGAAGCACCUCUCUGAAUGCUGUCUUGCAGGGAAGCCAGCUGAGGCUAUAAGAGCAGCAGGGAAAUCCCACA
rnacentral:lncRNA from 1 species